GAAAGUACAAAAGGAUUAGGUGAGUGUGAGGGGCUUUAGUUAGAUUUGGUUUUGAAUUGGUGGCAGAGUACUUCUCAGUUUUCUCUAGAAUUAUCUUCCCUUGCUCUAAAGUAGCAUCUUUUCUCCCUUUUUCAUUCACACCCUUCAUUUCUAAUGGUUGUUUUUCUUCCUCAUUAUUCCCCUUCUUCCCAUCCAAGGAGUCUUCAUUCCUCCUCUCGUCAUAUCUUUUUAUUUUAGUUGUUGAGUCGUCAUCAACUUCUGAAUGAGAUGAAUGAGUGGUGGACAACUCGGUUUACACAUGGGAAACAAUUCCAGCACCCCUUGUUCUAGAGUCUAAGAGUCUCGUAUCUUCAUGGUUGGCCGAAAACACUGACUAUAUUCUCGUGUUUGCUGGCAGAUCAAGGUAGUAAGCCACUAGACCGAUUUGUCAGAGCACCUCA
rnacentral:lncRNA from 1 species